AACGAACGCUGGCGGCAUGCCUAACACAUGCAAGUCGAACGAGACCUUCGGGUCUAGUGGCGCACGGGUGCGUAACGCGUGGGAACCUGCCCUUAGGUUCGGAAUAACUCCCCGAAAGGGGUGCUAAUACCGGAUAAUGUCUUCGGACCAAAGAUUUAUCGCCUUUGGAGGGGCCCGCGUUGGAUUAGCUAGUUGGUAGGGUAAAAGCCUACCAAGGCGACGAUCCAUAGCUGGUCUGAGAGGAUGAUCAGCCACACUGGGACUGAGACACGGCCCAGACUCCUACGGGAGGCAGCAGUGGGGAAUAUUGGACAAGGGGGGAAGGCCUGAUCCAGCAAUGCCGCGUGAGUGAUGAAGUCCUUAGGGUUGUAAAGCUCUUUUACCCGGGAUGAUAAUGACAGUACCGGGAGAAUAAGCUCCGGCUAACUCCGUG
rnacentral:rRNA from 1 species